rnacentral:rRNA from 1 species
GUCAGGUGCUGCAUGGCUGUCGUCAGCUCGUGUCGUGAGAUGUUCGGUUAAGUCCGCUAACGAGCGCAACCCUCGCUGUGUGUUACAAGUGUCACACGGAACUGCCGGUCAUAAACCGGAGGAAGGUGGGGAUGACGUCAAGUCAGCAUGGCCUUUAUAUCCUGGGCUACACACACGCUACAAUGGGAAGGGACAAUAGGUUGCGAAGCCGCGAGGCGGAGCCAAUCCAGCAAAACUUCCCUCAGUUCAGAUUGCAGGCUGCAACCCGCCUGCAUGAAGUUGGAGUUGCUAGUAAACGCAGGUCAGCCAUACUGCGUUGAAUACGUUCCCGGGGCUU